rnacentral:lncRNA from 1 species
AUUGUUAAAAUCAGACUGUGACUCCUGGAACCAGAUACUGGAAGGAUCAUGUUGCAGCCCCACCUGCAGAGUCAAGUCCCUCCUCCCACCUCAGCACUGCUAGAAAAGAGCUUCAGGAUGGAGCCACACAUGCCACUCAAGCCCAAGGGUCAGUCAACAGCCCACAGCCCUAAACUCAUCUGUGUCCAAUGCCAGACCCAGCAACUGCUGAUUUACAUGAAUCAACUCCAUCAUGCAAGCCUCAUGACAUCCCAAUGAGCCACCAUCCUGUGAGGAAGCCCAGAGCACAUGAAGAGACCACCUGCACAUGUUCAGAUCCACUGCCCCAGCUAAGAUCUCCGCUGACAGCCAGACCAAUCACCAAUCUUAGGAGCUGGCGAGCCUUCAGAUGGUCCAACCUUUGAGGCCCCCCAGAGGAGCCAGGUGGAGCAUAGAUGAGCCAUCCAUGUGGAUCCCUCCACCAAAUGGAAGAUUUAGGAGCAAAAUAAACAAUGUUG